rnacentral:lncRNA from 10 species
CUCGGUGAACAUCCACUACAAGUCACCCACCACUGCCGGCUUCAGCCAGCGCCGCAACCAUGCCAUGUGCCCGAUCUCGGCAGGCAGCCGGCCCCUGGAAUUCUUCCCUGACGACGACUGCACGUCCUCCGCCCGUCGAGAGCAGAAGCGCGAGCAGUACCGCCAGGUGCGUGAGCACGUGCGUAACGACGACGGCCGUCUGCAGGCCUGCGGCUGGAGCCUGCCCGCCAAGUACAAGCAGGUGCGGGCGGGCGCUGCGGGGACCGGGCGGGGCCCCGCAGAGGCGGGGCGGGGGUAAGGGGCGGGGCGCUGUGGGGCGGGGAGAGGGCGGGGCAGUGCUAGGGGGUGGGAGAG